rnacentral:tRNA from 1 species
GGUUGUGGCACAGUGGUAGAGCACUCGCCUAGCACGUGUGAGGCCGCCAGGUUCGAUCCUUAGCACCA